rnacentral:rRNA from 1 species
GAUGAACGCUGGCGGCGUGCUUAACACAUGCAAGUCGAACGGAAAGGCUCCUGCUUGCAGGGGUACUCGAGUGGCGAACGGGUGAGUAACACGUGGGUGAUCUGCCCUGCACUUCGGGAUAAGCCUGGGAAACUGGGUCUAAUACCGGAUAGGACGAUGGUUUGGAUGCCAUUGUGGACAGUUAUUCGGUGUGGGAUGAGCUCGCGGCCUAUCAGCUUGUUGGUGGGGUAAUGGCCUACCAAGUCGUCGACGGGUAGCCGGCCUGAGAGGUGGUACAGCCACAUUGCUACUGAGGUACGGAGCAGACUCGUACGGGAGGCAGCGGUGGGGAAUAUUGCACAAUGAGCGCGAGCGUGAUGCAGCGGCGCUGGGUGGGGGAUGACGGCCUUCGGGGUGUAAACUCCUUUCGCUAAAGACGAAGCGCUAGUGACGGUACCUGAAGAAGAAGCACCGGCUAACUACGUG